GCGCCCGUAGCUCAGUUAGCAGAGCAGUGGGACGGUACCCCACGGUCCCUGGUUCAAAUCCCGGCGGCCGCU